rnacentral:tRNA from 1 species
GGAUUUGUGGCGUAAUGGUAGCGCGCCUGAAUCCAGAUCCGAAGGUUGUGUGUUAGAUUCAUGUCAGGUUCA